CCCUGGGGGCUUCUGCGGCGCGUCCCACAGGGUCUCCAGCCGUACGACUGCGCUGCCCCGUCCCGGACGCGUGGACUGCUGGGCCGAACUGGAGUCGGGAAAGGGCUCCCAGCUCGGAACCACCCCGCCCUCCCGCUGCGGCCGCCGCAGCCCCGCCUGGUCACCCGCUCUCGCCUCACAGCGACAGGCGCGGAUCUCAGGGGAAUCACCUACUCCCAGGUGUCUCCAGGCCAGUGGACGAGACAGGGCCGACCUGUGGGGAACCACGCAACAGGUGCGCAGGUGCUCAGGACACACCUGGGUAGACAGCGAAGCUUUUCCUGUCCGUGUGGGCGCGGGUGAGAGCCCGGUUACCCAGGAAACUCCCACCUCACCCUCUCCACCUUCCGAAUUGCUCUGUGGAUGGUGGGGGAGGGGGGGAGUUACAGCUCACCGUGCGACGAUCAGAGGUCUCUUGUUUGGUGGAAGCCUGCUGAGUCUAUUGGCAGAGUGAAGCCAUUGCAACAUGUGACAGCAUAUAAGUGUCUGAGGAGGUUUGUCUGCGGCUAGUCCUGCUACAAUGUUGUAGACCAUCCCUCCCGUCUACUUCCUGGGCACCUCUGCUUCUUCCCAAUCUGCCUGUGUCCUCCCUAGAUCCUAAAAGCCCUGCGGCUCCCUGGAGCCAUCUUCUGGAGUACAGAGACCCUGUGACAUCAUCCACCUGCCUCCACCCCUGCCAUGGCCCUCCCCUGAGGACACCGUGGGGAACUGAGGUCUCUGCCCUCCAGGCUGCUGCUGCCAGACCCCGAUACCUCCACACUUGUGUAGAAGCCUCUGCUCCCCAGGCCUCCUGCCAUCCUGCUGAACACCCUCUGCCCCUCCUAGGAAGGGACCAGAGAAACUCGUGUGUGUCUGCCAUGAUGGCUUCGUGGGAGACAGUCAGAUCCACUAGGGAAGCAUCUGUGUCUGCCUGGCUCACCAUGCGGUAAAGUUAAUAAACAGUAAGUAUUUCCCUGAAUGAAGAAAUGAAUGAUGAAUGCUCACUGCCCACUCCCCGUCGCGCAGUGAGUACUCGGGCAUGUAGCUUUAGAGCGGUAUUUUGCUCCAGCCCAGAAAGGGUGGCUUCAGUGCCCCGUGCAGGAUACCGAAUGGCCGCCUCUGUGCACCUUCACUUCCUCCACUCCAAGGCCUUCCCUUUUCUCUCCCUUCAGGUGCCCACUCCUGUGCCACACCCUGUACUUUGUCAUCAACUGAAACUGCUCCGCCCCUGAAAUCUUGAAUACCAGGACCCCACUCUCUGACCCCACCUCCAUCCCCUAUGCCUGCCUCCCACCACACCUUCUCCUUAACUCACACACCGCCUCUGCUCCCUCCCACCCCAUCACCUCUUCCUGGUCCUGCUUCUCUUCCAGCCGAGCCUGAACUCCGGGCUGCUUGAACCUCCCCCUCAUCAGCAUCUUUCCUUCUCUGUACCUUGCCUUGUUUCAGCAGAACCCCAGCCUAGCUCAGCCUUUUUUUUUUUUUUUUUUUUAGACAGGGUCUCCCUUUGUCACCCAGGCUGGAGCACAGGACUCAAGGGACACAGGACCCAGGCUGGACACAGGACCCAGGCUGGAGCACAGGACCUCAGCCUUCUGAGUACCUGGGGUUACAGGCACCAUGCCUGCCUAAUUUUUUUAUUU